GGCAUCAAAAGAGUGCAUGACCUUGGCAAUAAAAUAGGUAGGACUUUUAUCCUCAGUUUCUGGAUGCUCAGUUCCGUUUGAAGUUGUAUCAUGCAAAACUCUUGGUGAAUUUGAAGAUUGUGGAGGUGACUCACUUAAUUGCUCUUCUACAAGCAUCUCAGAAUGCAACUUCUCCAAAAUGGAAACAACAUUCUGAUGAUACGAUCUUUCAGCAUCGACCAUGGUAAGAAGCUUUUGGAAAGUAAUCUGUUG
rnacentral:misc_RNA from 1 species